AGCGCAGGCGGUGCGGCAAGUCUGAUGUGAAAGCCCGGGGCUCAACCCCGGUACUGCAUUGGAAACUGUCGUACUAGAGUGUCGGAGGGGUAAGGUGGAAUUCCUAGUGUAGCGGUGAAAUGCGUAGAUAUUAGGAGGAACACCAGUGGCGAAGGCGGCUUACUGGACGAUAACUGACGCUGAGGCUCGAAAGCGUGGGGAGCAAACA
rnacentral:rRNA from 1 species